CCGCUCGCGGGAUUUAAUCUGCGUCCUCUUUUAUGACCACCACGCUUCGUUUUCUUCAAUCUGCUGCCGGACUCUUCGGUCACCACUCCCCCCGCCCGAGUCCAUCCUUCACGAAGCCUGCCGCUGCUUAAACGUGGAGGGAAGGACACGGAGAGGGACGCUCGCCGCUAACUGCGCGGGGUUAUUGUUAGUCUGUUAAAAUUUACGGCUCUAUCGACAUAUUAAGUGCAUUUUUACCUCAGCGCUGCACCGAAAGGGAGGGACUGUUUGUUUCUCCGAGAGUCUUCAACAACAGAACCGGCGGUUGGAAGGAUAUUUAAAGUGUUUGAGAACUGGCCAAUCAAGACAAGUGUGAGCCCCUGCACCCUGUACGUCAACGUCCACACUAAAAAAAAAAAAAAAAAAGAUUUAAGGAGGGAAUGAAACCGGAUGGGGAUACCAUGGAAACCACGGAGCCCACUGAAGUUGCAGCAGUAGCAGAGCCCUCCUUGUCGCAGGACAACACAACAGAGCAAGCCCCAUCGCAACCGGAGGGAGCUGCAAAUGAUGUAGCCCCCGAGGCUGCUCCAAAGUCCAAUGGCAAACCAGUGGCAGCAGACUCCAAAGUCAAACCAAAAGGUGUUUCAACUAAAAUACAGCCAGCAGCCAAAUCUGCAGGGGCCUCCGGAUCACGGCCAGGUAUUUCCUUGCACCGCACGGUGAGCGACGUAAAAUUAUCUAACAAUGUCUCUGCAACUGCAGUCAAGAAAAAUGCAACCACAACAAAAGCAUCAGCAGUGGGGGCUGUGCCUAAAAGACUGGUGGGUGCAGCAGCUGCAGCUUCCUCCACAGUCAAGAACCAAUCUAGAGUGCCUGACAAGAAGCCUGUUGGACCGGCUAGGACUACCUCCGUUGCUGCUGCCACAUCAACGGAUGGUACCAAACCAACAACAGUGAAUGGCACCCCUAAGAAGAGACCAGUAGCUGAGACUGUUAAUGUAGCUAGACCCAAAAUCACAACUACUGCCAGCAGAGCAGCAGCGUCCACUGCCCCAAAACCCAGCACUUCGACCACGACAAAAGCUGUUGGUGCAACGACAAAAGCUGUUGGUGCAACGACAAAAGCUGGUGGUCCCGCUCUUUCAAAGACCACAAGGCCUACUACAGGUCCCCCAACAUCUCGACCUGCAUCCACCACAUCCAGGCUCACCACAGAUGUCGUCAAGCCCUCCACCACUGCAACUGCCAGAACCUGCUGCCUCUAGAGUUACCACAGCACCCUCUACUGGCAGGACCACAGCAGCACAGCCUCCCAGAGCUGUUGCUGCGAAGAAAGGUAAGGGGUUGUGCCUUUUCUGAAGCCAUGUCUCAUUUAUAUUUGGAUCGCAUACAGUACCAUAAAUCCUUGAGACCUUAAAUGUCUACAAUAAAUUGGUUGACCUUAGUCUCGGCAAUAAAAGAUAAAUAAGGAUGUUUUAUUAUUGACACUGAGAUUUGGUGAAUUGACGUUUUUUUCUCUCUUUGCACCAGAUGUCAGUCGACCACCUUCUGCUGCGGUGGCAAAGAGACCUACAACGGCUACAGCAUCCACUUCUACCAAAAAACCUGAACCCUCUCGACCCACAGCCACAGCA
rnacentral:lncRNA from 1 species